rnacentral:rRNA from 1 species
UGGGGAAUAUUGCACAAUGGGCGAAAGCCUGAUGCAGCAACGCCGCGUGAGGGAAGACGGUUUUCGGAUUGUAAACCUCUGUUUUCGGUGACGAACAAAUGACGGUAACCGAGUAGGAAGCCACGGCUAACUACGUGCCAGCAGCCGCGGUAAGACGGAGGGAGCAAGCGUUGUUCGGAUUUACUGGGCGUAAAGGGCGUCUAGGCGGACUGAUAAGUCAGAUGUGAAAUACCUCGGCUCAACCGGGGAAUUGCAUUUGAUACUGUCGGUCUUGAGUACGGAAGAGGGAAGCGGAAUUCCUGGUGUAGCGGUGAAAUGCGUAGAUAUCAGGAAGAACACCGGUGGCGAAGGCGGCUUCCUAGUCCGUUACUGACGCUGAAGCGCGAAAGUGUGGGGAGCAAACA